AGCGGCGGACGGGUGAGUACGCGUGGGUAACCUGCCCUAUACACACGGAUAACAUACCGAAAGGUAUGCUAAUACGAGAUAAUAUAAGAGAUUCACAUGGAUUUCUUAUCAAAGCUGAGGCGGUAUAGGAUGGACCCGCGUCUGAUUAGCUAGUUGGUAAGGUAACGGCUUACCAAGGCGACGAUCAGUAGCCGACCUGAGAGGGUGAUCGGCCACAUUGGAACUGAGACACGGUCCAAACUCCUACGGGAGGCAGCAGUGGGGAAUAUUGCACAAUGGGCGAAAGCCUGAUGCAGCAACGCCGCGUGAGUGAUGAAGGCCUUCGGGUCGUAAAACUCUGUCCUCAAGGAAGAUAAUGACGGUACUUGAGGAGGAAGCCCCGGCUAACUACGUGCCAGCAGCCGCGGUAAUACGUAGGGGGCUAGCGUUAUCCGGAUUUACUGGGCGUAAAGGGUGCGUAGGUGGUCUCUUAAGUCAGGAGUGAAAGGCUACGGCUUAACCGCAGUAAGCUCUUGAAACUGGGAGACUUGAGUGCAGGAGAGGAAAGUGGAAUUCCUAGUGUAGCGGUGAAAUGCGUAGAUAUUAGGAGGAACACCAGUAGCGAAGGCGGCUUUCUGGACUGUAACUGACACUGAGGCACGAAAGCGUGGGGAGCAAACAGGAUUAGAUACCCUGGUAGUCCACGCCGUAAACGAUGAGUACUAGGUGU
rnacentral:rRNA from 1 species